GACGAACGCUGGCGGCGUGCUUAACACAUGCAAGUCGAGCGGUAAGGCCCUUUCGGGGGUACACGAGCGGCGAACGGGUGAGUAACACGUGGGUGACCUGCCCUCAGCUCUGGGAUAAGCCUGGGAAACCGGGUCUAAUACCGGAUAUGACUCCAUGACGCAUGUUGUGGGGUGGAAAGCCUUGUGCGGCUGAGGAUGGGCCCGCGGCCUAUCAGCUUGUUGGUGGGGUGAUGGCCUACCAAGGCGACGACGGGUANCCGGCCUGAGAGGGCGACCGGCCACACUGGGACUGAGACACGGCCCAGACUCCUACGGGAGGCAGCAGUGGGGAAUCUUGCGCAAUGGGCGAAAGCCUGACGCAGCGACGCCGCGUGAGGGAUGAC
rnacentral:rRNA from 1 species